GACGAACGCUGGCGGCGUGCUUAACACAUGCAAGUCGAGCGGAAAGGCCCUUCGGGGUACUCGAGCGGCGAACGGGUGAGUAACACGUGAGGAACCUGCCCCAGACUUUGGGAUAACCCUCGGAACGGAGGCUAAUACCGGAUAUGACAUUCCAUCGCAUGGUGGUUUGUGGAAAAGUUUUCGGUUUGGGAUGGUCUCGCGGCCUAUCAGCUUGUUGGUGGGGGUAA
rnacentral:rRNA from 1 species